UCAUAUGGGCUUGGUUUAAACAGAGAAAUAGGUCAGUUUGAUAUGCUAGUGGAGAAGAAACGGACACGUUACAAGGAGUUUCUUGGAAUCAAACGUUCGACAGUGUGGAACAGUGAAACAUGUGGUUAACAUUUAACAAGGUUCGGACAGCAAGAGUCAAGCCCAAGAUCAGGAGUGGCACGAGUAGUUGCAGAUCUUAAUCAGAAACCCAGGCUUCUUGUCUUUAGGGUUUGUUCCUUCCAAACCUGGUGCUACGUAGAGGCGUUUCGUUGGGACUGUUGUUACAUCUACCUCACCAAUAUUGUCAUACUUUUCCAUCAUCUCUCUAGCAUCAUCGUUGUGACCCACAUCUUCAAAAUCGUUUGUUGCAUCUUUCCCUGUAAAAUAAAUGAGAAAGAAUCAGCAAAAUUCAAGAAACCCAAAAGAAUCCAUUACCUGUCCUUUGGAGAAGAGGGAGAGACCCAAAUUGACACAGGACUGAGAAUGCAUGGAGAAAAAGAAGACAGAGUUGAGAGAUGAGAGACAAAGAGCAUGGAAGAUUGGAAAAGAUGAAGACAGAUUUGAGAGAUGAGAGACAGAGACCAUGUAAGAUUUGAGAAAUGAGAGACAGAGAGGGGGUGGCUGAGAAUGCAUUUAGAUUUAGGGUUAGAAAAAACAUACUAUUUAUACUUGUUUUUUUUAAGUACUGGCCUGGUUGAACCGGUUCGGUUUGGUUCGGUUUAAUCGGUUUCAGACUUUAGAAACCGAAACCGAACCGAUCCGAAACUUUUUUGUGAGUUUCUAAUCGGUUAAUUUAGUUUUUUUUUCGGUUC